GAAGGUGGCAAGCGUUAUUCGGAUUUACUGGGCGUACAGGGAGCGUAGGCGGUUCGGUAAGCCCUCUGUGAAAUCUUCAGGCUUAACCUGGAAAAGUCGGAGGGGACUGCUGGGCUAGAGGACGGGAGAGGAGCGCGGAAUUCCCGGUGUAGCGGUGAAAUGCGUAGAGAUCGGAAGGAAGGCCGGUGGCGAAGGCGGCGCUCUGGAACGUUUCUGACGCUGAGGCUCGAAAGCGUGGGGAGCAAACAGGAUUAGAUACCCUGGUAGUCCACGCCUUAAACUAUGAAUACUAAGUGUCGGCGGUUUACCGCCGGUGCCGCAGCUAACGCAUUAAGUAUUCCGCCUGGGAAGUACGGCCGCAAGGUUG
rnacentral:rRNA from 1 species